rnacentral:tRNA from 1 species
GAGCCGGUGGUCUAGCGGUUAUGAUGCGUCCCUUACAAGGACGGGGUCGAAGGUUCAAAUCCUUCCCGGCUCA